GCAAAAAGUUAAUGCGCUUGGCUUCUAACCAAAAGGUUGGAGGUUCGAGUCCACC
rnacentral:tRNA from 1 species